rnacentral:rRNA from 1 species
AUUGAACGCUGGCGGCAUGCCUUACACAUGCAAGUCGAACGGCAGCACGGGUGCUUGCACCUGGUGGCGAGUGGCGAACGGGUGAGUAAUACAUCGGAACGUACCUUAUCGUGGGGGAUAACGCAGCGAAAGCUGUGCUAAUACCGCAUACGCCCUGAGGGGGAAAGCGGGGGAUCGCAAGACCUCGCGCGAUUAGAGCGGCCGAUGCCUGAUUAGCUUGUUGGUGGGGUAAAAGCCCACCAAGGCGACGAUCAGUAGCUGGUCUGAGUGGAGGAUCAGCCACACUGGGACUGGGACACGGCCCCGACUCCUACGGGAGGCAGCAGUGGGGAAUUUUGGACAAUGGGGCAACCCUGAUCCAGCAAUGCCGCGUGAGUGAAGAAGGCCUUCGGGUUGUAAAGCUCUUUUGUCAGGGAAGAAACACCGGCUCUAACACAGUCUGGGAAUGACGGUACCUGAAGAAUAAGCACCGGCUAACUACGUGCCAGCCGCCGCCGUAA